AGCAGCCGCGGUAAUUCCAGCUCCAAUAGCGUAUAUUAAAGUUGUUGCAGUUAAAAAGCUCGUAGUUGAAUUUCGGAAUCAAUAUAUUGGUCGUGCCUUGGUACGUACUGAUAUUAUUGGUUUCUACCUUCUGAAGAACCUCGAUGUCAUUAAUUUGGUGUCUUGGGGAAUCAGGACUGUUACUUUGAAAAAUUAGAGUGUUUAAAGCAGGCUCGCGCUUGAAUACAUUAGCAUGGAAUAAUGAAAUAGGACGUUUGAUCCUAUUUUGUUGGUUUCUAGGAUCGACGUAAUGAUUAAUAGGGAUAGUUGGGGGCAUUAGUAUUCAAUUGUCAGAGGUGAAAUUCUUGGAUUUAUUGAAGACUAACUACUGCGAAAGCAUUUGCCAAGGAUGUUUUCAUUAAUCAAGAACGAAAGUUAGGGGAUCGAAGACGAUCAGAUACCGUCGUAGUCUUAACCAUAAACUAUGCCGACUAGGGAUCGGAUGAUGUUAAUUUUUUAAUGUACUCAUUCGGCGCCUUAC
rnacentral:rRNA from 1 species